UCGGGACGUAAACCCAUCUUUAUCCCCUGAUUUAUGCAAAGAAAGUGCUCUUAUCGGUUCCCCCACUUGCGCCGCAACCCCUCACCUUUCCUCUGAUUCGAAUCGAGCUCGGUAGAUAUUGUAUUAUACAACCCCUCACCUUAAACCAAAACGGGUAAACACACUUUGGUCCAACAUCAUGCUUUCAUCAUCAUCAGUUUGCCGCUGCUGCUUGGGUCAUUUUAAUUUUGGGUUUUUAGUUGCAAGUUUAAUUUUGGGUUGUUGGUGAUGAAAGUGUGAUGUUGGACCAAAGCAAUAACGACACUAUAUACCAGUGACCCGAAGCCAUUAUUAGUGGCAGGGUUUAUGACUUCCAAUGGUUGGGUAGGUUUAGGGGUGAGCAUCAUCAAAGAGCCGACCUGAACCGACUACUACCCUACUCGAUACCCGCUUUAACAUAAAAUUUGAACCUGAUCCUUAUACCUACUUACUUUAUCGGGUCUCGGUUCCACGUGUUCUCGGUUCUCUCAGUUCCCAUUCAUAACUCGUACUCGACAUUUCCUUAUUCACAGUCUAUGAACAAUUUACUCUAACAUCAAUAGGGUCGUCCAUUUCAAGGAGACACAUGUGGAAUUAAGCUUCAAUUUCAGUAGUACGUAUGCAGAUUCAUCCAAUUUCAAUCUAUAAUCAAUAUUUCACACUUUAAAUUGGGUGGAUGAUAUCAUAACUUUGAAGUAUAAGAGCAUAUACCUCAUCAAGGAGCGUUGAGCAGCCAUCAAAUGAAUAAUGAAGAACAGAACAAGCAGCCAAGAAAUCAAAUGAAUAUUCAAUGAUUCUGGGGAGUUGUAAGUCAAAAGGAAUUUGAAAUAAUGAAGCAGAGACAGUGUUAGCAGAAAUCGCACCUAGACGGAGAUUAAAUGGUCAUCGGAGGUCUGCCCCUGGAUUUUGGCAAAUCGGUCAAACUAGGCGGUAGUGGUCAAAAUCGGUCAAAAUCAGAGAAAAUUAGUAAAAAAUCGGACCUAAUCGGUCAAAAUUGGACUGAAUCGAUCUAAUGGAAUGAGUUCUUACCUCGUUUGGAACUAAAUUGGAAACAAAAUUGGGGCUGCGGCUUCUUUCUUGUGCGCCGUGUAAUGAAACAGAUGGUGUAAUUAAAGAGAUGGUGGGUUAGGUUUUAAUUAAGUUUGGGUAUUUUAA